UUGGAUUUGACAGCGAUAGCGGUUGUUGGGUGCAAGCAUGUCGAGCCAUGUGGUGAGUCUCGUUAAACUCUGAUCACAAACUAUAAUUGACAACACGUCAUACAGACUUGCUGCCUAAUUAGGUGAAUCCUAAUUAAGCUUAAUCUAGUGGAAUAAUAGUACACAGACAAGUUCCUUCUCUUUCGGUUCCGCCUGUUAACUGAGAGGUCAAGAAGGACCAUUAAUUUCGGGAUAGCAAUUGUGAUACUUCUAAGCAGUUGUGAGAUUCAGAAGUUAAGCGCAAUUCUUGGGUGUCUUUGUCCGAAAUUGCGUCGAAAAUCGAAUCGAAGAAUAAACAUGUAGAAAGCUUAACGAUUCGUCGUUUGGACGAGGGUUCGAAACCCUCCGACUCCA
rnacentral:tmRNA from 13 species